GAGUGAUUUGUUAAUCCUAGGACACAUGCGCAGAACAGUUCCGGAAGCUCUGCACAGGUGCACAUGGACUUCUCGCGAGAACUUGAGCAGGUUUUCCAGAGGAUGGCCCAGCUAGAUCGGACGACAGCUAGAUCGGACGACAGCCAGAGGCAAGGGGAUUGAACUCAAGACCUUGCACUUCCGAAGCAGGCCAGGCCCUUCCACCAUGCCAUUUCCGCCUUGGAGCCAGCCAACCAUGGACUGAAACUUCAAAACCUGUGAGCCAGAAGAACCCUCUCCUCUUUCGAGUUGUGGGUGUCAGGUGUUGGGUCUCAGGAUGAAGAAAAUGACUGGGACACCAGAUGAGCAUUGCACAGGAGGUGAGCUGCUCCCAGCACCCAGGAGGAGGCUUCUGGGCCACCGUACCACCCCUCUCAGGGCACAGGAGGUGAGCCGCAAGAGCGCCAGCAACACCACCCCCCCAAAAUGAGAAGACAUGUAAACAAGUCUCAAAACCAGACUUCCAGAUCACCUAAAGCAACCUCAAAGGGAAACGAGAUGGAACACUCUGAUACUCAACCACCUGGACUCCUUGAACUGGCAACAAAAGAGGAUCUGGGAAAAAAUAAAAUCAGAAAUAAUUUCUCAUAUAACAGCAGAGAUUGUGCCCAUAGUGCAAGACAUGAUUAAUAAAUCUAGAGGAGACACAGAUAAAAAAAAAUAGAGGAACUGAGGAACAUGAUGGAAUCCCAACAUAGGAAACAAAUGCGAUCUAUAAAACAGAUACAAACAGAUUUCCAGGAGAUUAAAAACUCCAUUGAAAGCUUAUGCAGCAGAAUGAGCCAACGUGAGGACAAAAUUUCAGACAUAGACGAUAAGAUUGCAAUUAGAGACCAGGAAAAGACAAGUUGCUUUACAAUAGUAAGGGACCAUGAGAAAUCAAUCCAGCAGCUGCUAGAUGAUGCAAAGAAGAAUAACAAGAUUGAUUGGAGUCAAUGAAGAAACAGGAGAGAGUGCAGAUGACAUAAAAAAAUUGUUCACAGAAGUGAUGGCAGAAAACUUCCCAAGGAGAGGAAAAGAACUUGACAUACAGUUAAGUGAGGCAUAUAGGAUUCCAACUAGCCUUGAUCAAAAAAAUGUACACAUAGGCAUAUAAUUGUUAAGAUUCCAGAAACCCAACAGAAGAAAAAAUUCUACAAGCAGUGAGAGAAAAGAAACAAAUCACAUACAAAGAAAAGCCCAUCAGAAUCACAGUAGACUUCUCAAUACAAACCCUCAAGGCUAGAAGAGCUUGGAGUGACAUAUUCCAAGCCCUAAAGGAAAACAGCCUCCGACCCAGAUUGAUGUAUCCUGCAAAGCUAUCUUUCAAAAUUGAAGGAGAAAUAAGAUACUUUCAUGACAAAGAGCA
ensembl:lncRNA